rnacentral:rRNA from 1 species
UCGAGAAUCAUUCGCAAUGGGCGAAAGCCUGACGAUGCGACGCCGUGUGGACGAUGAAGGCCUUCGGGUUGUAAAGUCCUUUCGCCAGGGAACAAGAGAGAGUAACUAAUAAUUGCUCAAUUUGAGGGUACCUGGUAAAGAAGCACCGGCUAACUCCGUGCCAGCAGCUGCGGUAAUACGGAGGGUGCAUGCAUUAAUCGGAUUUAUUGGGUGUAAAGAGCACGUAGGCGGGUAAGCAAGUCAGAUGUGAAAUUUCGAAGCUCAACUUCGAAGCUGCAUUUGAAACUACUUACCUUGAGGAUAGACGGAGAAAACGGAAUUCCAGGUGUAGCGGUGAAAUGCGUAGAUAUUUGGAAGAACACCGGUGGCGAAAGCAAUCCCCUGGGCCUGCACUGACGCUCAUGCACGAAAGCGUGGGGAGCAAACA